UUGGAUUUGGUUGUUGCUUA
rnacentral:siRNA from 1 species